rnacentral:rRNA from 1 species
GAUGAACGCUGGCGGCGUGCCUAAUACAUGCAAGUAGAACGCUGAAGCUUGGUGCUUGCACCGAGCGGAUGAGUUGCGAACGGGUGAGUAACGCGUAGGUAACCUGCCUCUUAGCGGGGGAUAACUAUUGGAAACGAUAGCUAAUACCGCAUAAAAGUCGAUAUCGCAUGAUGUUGAUUUGAAAGGUGCAAUUGCAUCACUAAGAGAUGGACCUGCGUUGUAUUAGCUAGUUGGUGAGGUAACGGCUCACCAAGGCGACGAUACAUAGCCGACCUGAGAGGGUGAUCGGCCACACUGGGACUGAGACACGGCCCGGACUCCUACGGGAGGCAGCAGUAGGGAAUCUUCGGCAAUGGGGGCAACCCUGACCGAGCAACGCCGCGUGAGUGAAGAAGGUUUUCGGAUCGUAAAGCUCUGUUGUAAGAGAAGAACGAGUGUGAGAGUGGAAAGUUCACACUGUGACGGAACUACCAGAAAGGACG